CAGCAGCCGCGGUAAUACGAAGGGUGCAGGCGUUACUCGGAAUUACUGGGCGUAAAGCGUGCGUAGGUGGUGGUUUAAGUCCGUUGUGAAAGCCCUGGGCUCAACCUGGGAAUUGCAGUGGAUACUGGGUCACUAGAGUGUGGUAGAGGAUAGUGGAAUUUCCGGUGUAGCAGUGAAAUGCGUAGAGAUCGGAAGGAACAUCUGUGGCGAAGGCGACUAUCUGGGCCAACACUGACACUGAGGCACGAAAGCGUGGGGAGCAAACAGGAUUAGAUACCCCUGUAGUCCCUGUCUCUUAUAC
rnacentral:rRNA from 1 species